GUCCAUGCCGUAAACGUUGGGCGCUAGAUGUGGGGACCAUUCCACGGUUUCCGUGUCGCAGCUAACGCAUUAAGCGCCCCGCCUGGGGAGUACGGCCGCAAGGCUAAAACUCAAAGGAAUUGACGGGGGCCCGCACAAGCGGCGGAGCAUGCGGAUUAAUUCGAUGCAACGCGAAUAACCUUACCAAGGCUUGACAUUUACGAGAACGCUGCAGAAAUGUAGAACUCUUUGGACACUCGUAAACAGGUGGUGCAUGGUUGUCGU
rnacentral:rRNA from 1 species